UACGUAGGUGGCAAGCGUUGUCCGGAAUUAUUGGGCGUAAAGCGCGCGCAGGUGGUCCUUUAAGUCUGAUGUGAAAUCUUAUGGCUCAACCAUAAGCGGUCAUUGGAAACUGGGGGGCUUGAGUACAGAAGAGGAAAGCGGAAUUCCACGUGUAGCGGUGAAAUGCGUAGAGAUGUGGAGGAACACCAGUGGCGAAGGCGGCUUUCUGGUCUGUAACUGACGCUGAGGCGCGAAAGCGUGGGGAGCAAACAGGAUUGAGAU
rnacentral:rRNA from 1 species